rnacentral:rRNA from 1 species
UGGCCUAUCAGGUAGUAGGUGGGGUAACGGCCCACCUAGCCUAAGACGGGUACGGGCUCUGAGAGGAGGAGCCCGGAGAUGGGCACUGAGACAAGGGCCCAGGCCCUACGGGGCGCAGCAGGCGGGAAACUUCCCCAAUGCGCGCAAGCGUGAGGGAGUGAGCCCGAGUGCCGCCCGCUGAGGGCGGCUGUUCCCCUGUGUAAAAAGCAGGGGGUAGGAAGGGGAGGGUAAGGCUGGUGCCAGCCGCCGCGGUAAAACCAGCUCCCCGAGGGGUUCCCACGCAUACUGGGCCUAAAGCGUCCGUAGCCGGCCCCGUAAGUCCUCGGUUAAAUCCGCCUGAAGACAGGCGGACCGCCGAGGAUACUGCGGGGCUAGGGAGCGGGAGGGGCCGAGGGUAUUCCGGGGGGAGCGGUAAAAUGCGUAGAUCCCCGGAGGACCACCAGUGGCGAAGGCGCUCGGCUGGAACGCGUCCGACGGUGAGGGACGAAAGCUGGGGGAGCAAACCGGAUUAGAUACCCGGGUAGUCCCAGCCGUAAACGAUGCCGGCUAGGUGCCGGUUGAGGUUUCAGCCUCAGCCGGUGUCGAAGCGAAGGCAUUAAGCCGGCCGCCUGAGGAGUACAGCCGCAAGGCCGAAACUUAAAGGAAUUGACGGGGGGGCACCACAAGGGGUGAAUGCCUGCGGCUCAAUUGGACUCAACGCCGGGAAUCUUACCGGGGGCGACAGCAGGAUGAAGGUCAGGCUGAAGACCUUACCUGACGCGCUGAGGGGUGGUGCAUGGCCGUCGCCAGCUCGUGCCGUGAGGUGUCCUGUUAAGUCAGGCAACGAGCGAGACCCCCGCCCCCAGUUGCCAGCGGGGCCUUACGGCUGGCCGGGCAAACUGGGGGGACUGCCGGCGAAGAGCCGGAGGAAGGAGGGGGCUACGGCAGGUCAGUAUGCCCCUAAUCCCCCGGGCCGCACGCGGGCU